UACGUAGGGAGCAAGCGUUGUCCGGAAUCAUUGGGCGUAAAGCGCGCGUAGGUGGCUUCAUAAGUCCGUUGUGAAAGUCAAAGGCUCAACCUUUGAAAGCCGAUGGAUACUGUGGAGCUAGAGUACGGAAGAGGCGAGUGGAAUUCCUGGUGUAGCGGUGGAAUGCGCAGAUAUCGAGAGGAACACCUGCGGCGAAGGCGGGUAGCUGGGCCGACACUGACGCUGAUGCGCGAAAAGCUAGGGGAGCGAACAGG
rnacentral:rRNA from 1 species